rnacentral:snRNA from 1 species
UGAGCUGGCGGUCUCUGUCAAUUUGUACUCUCCUUUCGCUUUUUACUAAAGGAGACCAGGCUUAGGUCGCAUAGUACAGCUCUUUAACCUAAUUUUUGUCGUCUCCCAAAGAGACGU